ACGAGGGCAGCUAACGGUUCCAGCUUUCGGCUCGAAGAACGAUGCACCCCAUGAAUUAACCCCGAACAACACGCCACUCGUUUAAGAAUCGAUAACUUGUACGAGUGGAAUUGGCAGAAACCCAUGGCUAUAAAGCCGGAAAAAUCAUCUGGCCGUUAAAAGCCCGGGCUCGCUAAAUUACCCGCUUUACACAGCCCGAUGUCGCUGUUGAUCAGAGCUCCAACUCUUCUUUCUGCUUUACAUGGUACUUCAAAUGCCGAUCUUGUCUUCCGUUUCAAACAUGCUUUUCUAAUUAUUAUGCUUAUGACAUGCAGCCACGACUUAUUAGGUGAAGGUAUGUAUAUAGUAAAGGGAGCUUGAGGAUAGGAUGGCUAUAGUUCUAAAAUAAUGGACCAUAUUUAAGGAUGGAGAACGCCCGUCAAUUGCGACUUUAGUUGUUGUUUUUAAUCAGGAGAAGACGAAAAACAUGUUCGUCAGGACUGGAUGGCGGGGAAUUGAACCCUCCGCGGCUCCUUACCCGGAUUUAGCUCCCUUGGUUGUCUUGGAGCCCUGAAGAGGGAUUGAUGAGCUUUGGCCCUUCCUUCCAUACCUUGGUGAAGUUCCACCCCCGUCGCUUCUUCCCUCGUAUUACCAUCUCUACACAUCGGCCACUUUCAGCCAUUAUCACCUUAUCAAGCAAUGACCCAGUAAAUAAGCUUAUCCAAGGAGCGUAAGAAAAAGAAAAGGAAAAAGAAAAAGUAUUCCAAAG
rnacentral:sRNA from 1 species